rnacentral:rRNA from 1 species
UACGUAGGGCGCAAGCGUUGUCCGGAAUUAUUGGGCGUAAAGAGCUCGUAGGCGGUUUGUCGCGUCUGCCGUGAAAGUCCGGGGCUCAACUCCGGAUCUGCGGUGGGUACGGGCAGACUAGAGUGAUGUAGGGGAGACUGGAAUUCCUGGUGUAGCGGUGAAAUGCGAAGAUAUCAGGAGGAACACCGAUGGCGAAGGCAGGUCUCUGGGCCGAUACUGACGCUGAGGAGCGAAAGCGUGGGGAGCGAACAGG